rnacentral:rRNA from 1 species
AUACGGAGGGUGCAAGCGUUAAUCGGAAUUACUGGGCGUAAAGCGUACGUAGGCGGUUCGUUAAGUUAGAUGUGAAAGCCCCGGGCUUAACCUGGGAACUGCAUUUAAAACUGGCGAACUAGAGUUAAGUAGAGGGGAGUGGAAUUUCAGGUGUAGCGGUGAAAUGCGUAGAGAUCUGAAGGAACACCAGUGGCGAAGGCGACUCCCUGGACUUGAACUGACGCUGAGGUACGAAAGCGUGGGUAGCAAACGGGAUUAGAAACCCUAGUAGUCC